UGGUUAUUUUGGUCUGUAGAUCAGUCGAAAGUUUCCAUUCGUAACACCAACACUGUAGAUGGAGAUGACAACUCGUCCACAGCAAUGAAAAGCAACACCCUCGUCUCAUCAUGUUGAACACCAUCUUCCUGGUCUGUGUUUUGUUUCAGCUCCAGCUGCCAGUUAAUGAUGGAGCUCCUAGUGCUUACGAGGUCCUCCAAACGCCUUGUUUCGCCGCUCCGAAACCCGGAGAAUCCGUCAUGAUCCACUGUUCGCACAGCGUAUCCAUUUUUGAGCGAAUCCUUUGGUACAAACAAGAAAAACACGGAGCUCUGAGGUUCCUGGGAUACAUGAACAGGAACUUCCCUAACCCAGAGGGUGACGUGAAGGACAAGAUGGACUUUGGAGGAGACGGCAGUAAACAUGCGACCCUGAACAUUUCGACUGUUUCGGAAAAUGACAGCGCGGUUUAUUUCUGCGCUGCCAGUCGACACAGUACAGCAGAAACCCUGUCAGUCAAUACAAAAACUCUGCAUGAAGAUAGAGAUCUGAACACCUGCAGUCAGCCUCCAUGUAUGACUCACAUUAUGACUGACUGGGUUCGGUUCACCACUGACCAAUCAGAUCACUGGAAACUCACAGCCACCUUUAAGAUUCCAUUUAAACAAUCUGAGUAA